UGCCCCUUCGUCUAAUGGCAAGACAUACGGCUCUGGACCGUGUAAUCGGGGUUCGAAUCCCUGAGGGGCAACCA
rnacentral:tRNA from 1 species